GGAUGCGAGGGUAACCUGACAUCUGUCAUCCAAAUGACUGCUAGGGUUGAUUCUGGUGAUCUGGCUGACUAGACAGGUGUCCCCUUCCUCCCUCAUUCCUGCUGUAUAUGUGUCCUUCCCAAAGUACUCAGGUUGAAGAGAAUGACCUUCUCCAAAUAGAGACUGAGCAGUCUUUGUGAAGAGCAUAUGUGUAGCUAUAUUCCUCUGCUAGAACCUCUAAACAAGCUCUCAAAUGUAGCAUACAAUAUUUAUUCAUGAAACAAGGAUGGAGAAUAUUUGUUAAAAAUCAUUCAGUUUUCUCACGACAAUAUAACAAUAUUCAAUCAAUAG
rfam:Erinaceus europaeus unplaced genomic scaffold scaffold00031, whole genome shotgun sequence